rnacentral:tRNA from 1 species
ACUUAGGAUAAUAUAAACCAAGAGCCUUCAAAGCUCAAAAUAGGGAAUUUUCCCCUAGUUUCUGAUAUCAAGACUUG